AUUGUGGUGUUACUAUGACACCAGGAGAACUUAGAACUUUGUGUGAAAUAGACUGGCCAGCGUUAGAGGUGGGUUGGCCAUCAGAAGGAAGCCUGGACAGGUGUCCCUUGUUUCAAAGAUGUGCGGCCCUUGCAGCUGUUCUUCCCUCGCUAACGGCGUUAGGCUCUGACUCAGAGAGGAGUUUUGUGCCAAGGAAUUCUGGCAGCGUCUACAGUCCUUGUGAUAUUCCCAGUGAGGAAAUCGUUCAUUGUGAGCAGGGGCGAUGGUGACAAGAGGAUCCAGGCGGAUUGGGAAGGAGUCCAGGAAGAAAGAAGACUGGGCCCUGGGCACGUGAAAUCUAUCGGCCUCAAAAUUCUUACCUUUCUUUAAAUCUUUCUAUUUACAAA